UAGUCCUUUUUUAUAUACUUCCUACCGUUAAUUAUUAGAAACCUCCUUUCGGCUGUGGAUUCUAUUUUUCUCUCUCCAGUCUCAACGGCUCUAUUCUGCUGAGAAAAUCAUGAUUUUUUGUUGGUUAUUAUAAGGUAAGUAAUGCGGUGGACAGCCCAACCGCAACGGCGCUGUUCCCUGACUCCAUUCUCUUGUUCCAUUGCCGGUACCUUUUACACCCACCUUAUGGCUUGUGGGUUCAAGUGCCUUGGCCGCAUUCUCGACCGUUAUGUCCGUUUCUGCUGUGAAUCCCCCGGUCUUGUCUAUGCAUGCCAAGUAUUCGAUGAAAUUACUGAACAAGAUGUGGUCGCAGGAACCUUGUUUGUUUCGUGGGAUCAUGCUGGAUUAUUGAAGUCCCAAUUAUUUCAUGUUUGUGGAAUGAUGAAGCUGAUGCUGCUGUUAGUUUGUUGAUGAGAUGACAAGAAAUUUGUCAGAGAAGCAAGCCAUGGCCGGGAUUUUUCAUUGUCUGUGAAUAACACUUGGUGAACUGUAAAGAAGGAUGUACUACAAUUGAUAAAGCGCACAACAGGGUUUUAAUCAAGAUUCCCUUUGAAAAUUUUGUUAUUGUGGAAUGUAAUGGUCUCAGGAGUAUGUUAAUGAGGGGCUUGUUUGUGAAGUUAAAUAAUUUUUCAAGAUGAUUCCAGAGAUGAAAUAUUUUGGCGUGGACUGUGAUCAUCAGUCCCAUCACUUCAAACCUUCUUUACAAAAAGGAACAAGGAGUCAAGUCCUCUGGCCCUUGCAAACCACAGGGUUUUCAAUGCUUCAGUGAGAGAGAACAACACUGACAAACUCAGAAUGGCAAGAGGGAUUUUGAAUGUUCCACCUCUUUUGGACUGUCAAGGAUUCCUUUUAUAGAUGAUGCUUUUGGGAAUUAGUUGGGUCAUCUACAUGAAGGUAUGGCUAUGGCUUGUUCGAUGGGGCAAGAUAGCAUGCUUGGGUUGUUACUUUCAUUCGUUGCAUGGGGGCCACUAGAUGCACAUUCAAUGCUUGUCAUUCUAAAUCCCGUGGAUGGCUUUGGAUUCAUAGGCAAAUGAUGGCUAGGGUGGCCGGGUUGCUUCUCUGGGAUCCAUGUGUCACUAGGGUCCAAUGUCUCCCCACAUAUUCCCUCAUUUUGCAUUUGCGGGAAAAAGUCUCUUGUCCUUCCACAUGGAGCUGCUUGGGGGAGAUUGCUUUUGAAUUUGAAAGGGCAAUAGGCUACGGAAUUAAGGGAAGUACGUUCCCUCUUCUCACGCCUCAUCGAAUUUCUUUUGACAUUGUUGUACUUGUGGGAUCUUCACUUCUCAUAUGGGCAAAUAUUACUUUCCCUUCUUAUCUCUUUUGUCACCUUUCUUCUUUCUUCCUUUUUAUGCUCUCCUAGGGUUGCCUUUCCUUAUCUCUACUAUGCCUAAGGGAAGGGAAUUUUCGGUUAAAUGUUCCAGGGAGUUUUAGAUAUUGAAUGGUGUCAUCUUGAGAGGUAUGUUCUCUUACGAACGUAUUCUUUCAAGGGGAGACAAUGUCUCUUUUUUUGUAGCUCAUUUUAAGGCAAGGUUUUGUUUGCUUUUGUCACCUCCAAUUUGUCACUUUUAUGGUUUUGUUAGAGUCCUCUCAUCUAAGGUCCACCAUAAUGUUAUUCAUUUGUUGAUGACUAUGGCCAUGCUAAACUCAAUAGAGGAUCAAUGUAUUUUCUUGGGGAGACCUUGUUCCUUUACCAA